rnacentral:rRNA from 1 species
CCUACGGGAGGCAGCAGUGAGGAAUAUUGGUCAAUGGACGGAAGUCUGAACCAGCCAUGCCGCGUGCAGGAAGACGGCCCUAUGAGUUGUAAACUGCUUUUGUACAAGGGUAAACCUGCAUACGUGUAUUCAGCUGAAAGUACUGUACGAAUAAGGAUCGGCUAACCCCGUGCCAGCAGCCGAGGUACUACGGAGGAUCCAAGCGUUGUCCUGAUUUAUUGGGUUUAAAGGGAGCGUAGGGGGAUGGAUAAGGUAGAGGUGAAAUGUCCGAGCUUAACUCGGGAACUGCCUCUAAUACUGUUGAUCUAGAGAGUUGAUGCGGUAGGCGGAAUGUAUGGUGUAGCGGUGAAAUGCUUAGAGAUCAUACAGAACACCGAUUGCGAAGGCAGCUUACCAAUCUAUAUCUGACGCUGAGGCACGAAAGCGUGGGGAGCAAACAGGAUUAGAUACCCCUGUAGUC